rnacentral:misc_RNA from 1 species
UCCGGUUUGUCACCGGCGGUCUCCUUAGAGUUCCCAACUUAAUGAUGGCAACUAAGGACAAGGGUUGCGCUCGUUGCGGGACUUAACCCAACAUCUCACGACACGAGCUGACGACAGCCAUGCAGCACCUGUCUCACGGUUCCCGAAGGCACAUCCGCAUCUCUGCGGGCUUCCGUACAUGUCAAGGGUAGGUAAGGUUUUUCGCGUUGCAUCGAAUUAAUCCACAUAAUCCACCGCUUGUGCGGGUCCCCGUCAAUCCCUUUGAGUUUUAAUCUUGCGACCGUACUCCCCAGGCGGAUGACUUCACGCGUUAGCUGCGUUACUAAAGGAUUUAACUCCUCCAACAACUAGUCAUCAUCGUUUAGGGCGUGGACUAC